UGGAGGAGAAGGUUAGCGGCUACUGUUCAAAAAAGAAACAACAUGUCUCCACUUCCAACGAAGCACAACAAACGAAUCUUUUUGUGCACACAUCCGCCGCUACGACUACACUAGUUGUGUUCGUCCUUAUUACGUUGAGCACCGCAUCGGGAAGACCGUGUGCGAAUACUGUUUGACCCAUGGAAGAGAGCAUGAGUUUGCAACGUUGUGUUGAGUUGAUUUAUUUGGGAUUUACUUUUAUUAUUAUUAUUAUUAUUUUUCUAUCUUUUUUUUCUUUCUUCAUUUAAUUUGGAAAAAGCCAUACAAACUUUUGUUGAUCUCAUUUAUUUUAAUUACACUGAAAUUAGGAUAAAAGAUAUUGAGAAGUUUGUCUUUGGACUUGGUCUUUGCCCAUAGAUUAGGUCCAUUAAGCUGCUUUUAGCACCUCUUGUAUGUUAUAAACAAUCCGUAAGUUUGUAACAUUGUAAACUUUAUUAAGUAAACAUUGUAAAUUUUAUUAAGUUGUUGUUGAUUA